rnacentral:tmRNA from 1 species
CUUGCAAUUUCCAGUCUAAAACACUAUAAUAAGUGGGCCGGAAACGGUGAUGAUUCUGAAUCCGUUGUGAAAUAGUCAUUUUGGACUGGGGGGCGGUACCCCACAGCUCCACCAUUACCCAAUGCAGGCGCAUUAGGUAAUGGUGGAGAGAAACAAGAGAUAUGAGACAUGAAUAAAUCAUUUCAUGAAUCUUAUUAUUUGUUUGUAUGCUCUGCCUGAAUGGGGCUGACAUAGAUUCGACAGGUGAUGAAAGACAAAUUGGGUGAAUCCGACAUGGCGUCGUUAAAAGCCAACUAAAAACUGAAUGGCGAUAGAAUCGCUGCGAACGACAAUGUUCGCCUUGCAAUGGCUGCCUAAUAUGGCGUUGAAUAUGGUUGGCAAUUGUUGACCACAUUCGUUUUAGUUAUUGCGGGGUCGCCCGAUACCUGGCACCAGAAAU